rnacentral:rRNA from 1 species
AAUCAACGCUGGCGGCGUGCCUAACACAUGCAAGUCGAACGCGAAGGAAGUCUUCGGACUUCUGGAGAGUGGCGCACGGGUGAGUAACACGUGGGUAAUCUGCCUUUGGGUGGGGAAUAACGGUCCGAAAGGGUCGCUAAUACCGCAUAACGCAGCGGCACCGCAUGGUGACAGUUGUUAAAGGGGGGGAUCGAAAGACCUCUCGCCUGAAGAGGAGCCCGCGUCCGAUUAGCUGGUUGGUGAGGUAAUGGCUCACCAAGGCAUCGAUCGGUAGCCGGCCUGAGAGGGCGGUCGGCCACACUGGCACUGAGACACGGGCCAGACUCCUACGGGAGGCAGCAGUGGGGAAUUUUGGGCAAUGGGCGCAAGCCUGACCCAGCAACGCCGCGUGAAGGAUGAAAUCCCUCUGGGAUGUAAACUUCGAAAGUCGGGAAAGAAAUCGCCAUGGAUAACACCCGUGGUGGAUGACGGUACCCGACGUAAGCCCCGGCUAACUACGUGCCAGCAGCCGCGGUAAUACGUAGGGGGCAAGCGUUAUUCGGAAUUACUGGGCGUAAAGGGCGCGUAGGCGGCAUGGCAAGUCGGGAGUGAAAGCCCGGGGCUCAACCCCGGAACUGCUUUCGAAACUGCCAAGCUAGAGUACGGAAGGGGCAACUGGAAUUCCCAGUGUAGCGGUGAAAUGCGUAGAUAUUGGGAAGAACACCGGAGGCGAAGGCGGGUUGCUGGGCCGAUACUGACGCUGAGGCGCGAAAGCCAGGGGAGCAAACGGGAUUAGAUACCCCGGUAGUCCUGGCCCUAAACGAUGGAUACUUGGUGUGUGGGGUUCUCAAAGUCCCCGCGUGCCGGAGCUAACGCGUUAAGUAUCCCGCCUGGGGAGUACGGUCGCAAGGCUG